UCGAAGGCCUGGAGUAGCCCGCCCCUCCGCCCUUCCGCCUCUCCAAGCCCUCGCAGGCCUGUCACCUACACUUCUUGGGCGCGUUUUUCUCAGUGGCGUGUGGGUGGAUGUGCGUGGAGUGGCCCAGAGAGAGUGCUGGACUCCCUCCCCCCUCAAGGCUGGAGUUCAAGGAGCACCUGGUGGAGAGAGGAAACAGCAGGAAUGGGCAGCCACACCCAGUGUUGGGAGGAUUCCAGGCCUCCGGCAACGUAAAAGGCACUCCCUUCUCUAACCAGAAUUGGCCCGGAAAUGAAUAAAUACCCAUAAAAAAAUCA